rnacentral:rRNA from 1 species
AACGUAGGUGACGAGCGUUAUCCGGAUUUACUGGGCGUAAAGCGUGUGCAGGCGGUUGAGUAAGUGGUGUAUGAAAGCUCCGGGCUUAACUCGGAGAGGUUAUGCCAGACUGCUCGGCUGGAGGCAGAGAGAGGGACAUGGAAUUCCGGGUGUAGUGGUGAAAUGCGUAGAGAUCCGGAGGAACUCCAGAGGCGAAGGCGGUGUCCUAGCUCUGACCUGACGCUCAGACACGAAAGCAUGGGGAGCGAACGGG